rnacentral:lncRNA from 1 species
AGAGAGAGUGGGGCUUGAGAAAAGGCGGGAACGUCGGACUUCUGUGACGCUCCCCGUCUUCCCCUCCAGCAGGAAGAUUUUCAGUGUUUUCUCUGCAGAGCGACGUUCAUGGCGAUCUGCGCGCAGCUUCAAGGAAGGUCGUCCAAUUCUAUCUGAUGUGCCUUGUGAGCAAUAUGUCAUCUCAUUGCGAGGUCCGCCCCCAUCCCUUUCCCUUCUUCUAUCACGCCUGCUGAAGGUUUGCCCAAUCAUCGGAUCGAUCGCUCCAAUCCCCAGCAUUCUCAGUGUCAAUCUGUUAUUCUGCAUGUGGAUUGUGAUCAGAUGAUUCUCCCGUUUCUCUGAUUAGAUCCUGCAGAGGAGCUCUGCUAUCCUAUUGUAAUAUAUUUCUUUUCAUGAUUUUCAUUUUUAUUUGAAAUACUAUGGGAUUGACAGCGGAGCAGAGGUGGCACUUGUGUCUCGUGGUGGUUGUUUGAUGGAUCUUAGGUUGUUCCAGCCUCCACUUUGAACAAAUCUCAUGGCGCAGCGAGUGUGACAUAGGAAAGCGAAACCCCCGGUGAGGGGUUUAUUCCACGGUGUUGGCGCAGGUUUCUUCAUUUCGUCGACAUCUGUCCGCGUCUUCGCCUCAGGAAGCUGAUGGGGGAGAAAGGCAAUAACGUUCUGUCUUCGCUUGCAUUUUUUUUUUAUCUGAGAAACAAUUUUGGCCGAUAUCGAAUGAACUCCGGAGAGAAGCGAGCGGUCACAAUCCAACCUAGAAAGAUUUAAAAACAUUUUAUCAACUCUAUCGAGACAUCAUCCGCCCCUAUAGUUGAUAUGAUCCGAACAUGGCCUCUUUUGCGAAGGAAACAAUGUGCCGUCCGAGAUUUUUCUGUUCAUUAUCAUAUCAACAAGAUACGGACUCGUCGUUGAAUUUUUCAUCGUAUGCAUAUUAAUUUCUAGAGAUCCCAAUAAUUUUUUCCAAUUGCAAGCGUGAAAGAUCGAAAGAUGUAAACGUUGCUCCCACCGGAUGCUGCAAAUUUUCACGUCUGGAGCAGAAAUAUGCAUCACAGUAAGCUUACAAUGGCAGCUGAUGUCGUUUGAAAAGACAAUAUAUAG